rnacentral:rRNA from 1 species
AUGGCGAGGGACUGCAGAGCUCCCGCCGCGUCGUCGUUCAUGGCGCUGCUGCUGGUGGCGGCGGCGGUGGUGGUGUCGUUCUUGGGCGGCGGGGCCGAGGCCAGGAAGUCCAGCAACAUCACCGUCGUCGGCUCCGUCUACUGCGACGCCUGCGCCAACAACACCUUCUCCAAGCACAGCUUCUUCCUCAAAGGGGCUCGGGUGCUGAUCCAGUGCAACUUCAAGGUGAACUCGAGCGCGGCGCCGGAGGAGAUCUCGCUGGAGGCGGAGCGCACCACGGACCAGCACGGCGUGUACAAGCUGGACGUGCCCCCUGUCGACGGCUUCGAGUGCCGGGAGGGUCACGAGCUCCGGUCGGCGUGCUGCGCCACGCUCGUCCGGAGCUCCUCAGCCGCCUGCAACGUCCCGGGCCUCCGCGGCUCCACGCAGCACAUCGCGCUCCGGGGCCCCCGCGGCGCGGCCGCCUGCUUCCUCAACCUCAACGCGCUCAACUUCCGCCCCGCCAAGCGGGACCGCACGCUCUGCCACGGUGGCGGCAGCAAUGCGUUCGGGUCGUCGCUCUUCUUCUGGCCGUUCCUGCCGCUCUUCUGGCCGCCGCCGCUCGGGUUCCCGUCGCCCGCCGCGCCGGGCGGGGGCGCCGGAGGUACGGUGUCGUUCCCGUGGCCGUUCCACGUGCCGGAGUGGCUGGUGCCGUUCCUGCGCCCGCCCUUCCUGCCUUUCCCGCUCUACCAGCCGGCGCCGGUGUCAUCGUCGUCGUCGGCGCCGCCCCCGUUCGAACGUUUCCCGCCACCACAACGAACGGCUGCUCGGCCGUAA